rnacentral:rRNA from 1 species
UACGUAGGAGGCGAGCGUUGUCCGGAAUUACUGGGCGUAAAGAGCGCGUAGGCGGCACGGUACGACCGGUGUGAAAGCCCCCGGCUCAACUGGGGAGGGUCACCGGUAACGGCCGAGCUACGAGUGCAGGAGAGGGAAGUGGAAUUCCGGGUGUAGCGGUGGAAUGCGUAGAGAUCCGGAAGAACACCAGUGGCGAAGGCGGCCCGCUGGGCCAGUGGCUGACGCUGAGGAGCGAAAGCGUGGGGAGCGAACGA